rnacentral:rRNA from 1 species
UACGGGGGGGGUAAGCGUUGUUCGGAAUUACUGGGCGUAAAGGGCUCGUAGGCGGCCAACUAAGUCGGACGUGAAAUCCCUCAGCUUAACUGGGGAACUGCGUCCGAUACUGGAUGGCUUGGAUUUGGGAGAGGGAUGCGGAAUUCCAGGUGUAGCGGUGAAAUGCGUAGAUAUCUGGAGGAACACCGGUGGCGAAGGCGGCAUCCUGGACCGGCAUUGACGCUGAGGCGCGAAAGCUAGGGGAGCGAACAGG